rnacentral:rRNA from 1 species
UGGGGAAUAUUGCACAAUGGGGGAAACCCUGAUGCAGCGACGCCGCGUGAGUGAAGAAGUAUUUCGGUAUGUAAAGCUCUAUCAGCAGGGAAGAAAAAAGACGGUACCUGACUAAGAAGCCCUGGCUAACUACGUGCCAGCAGCCGCGGUAAUACGUAGGGGGCAAGCGUUAUCCGGAUUUACUGGGUGUAAAGGGAGCGUAGACGGCGCGGCAAGUCUGAAGUGAAAGGCAGGGGCUUAACCCCUGAACUGCUUUGGAAACUGCCAUGCUAGAGUGCUGGAGAGGUAAGUGGAAUUCCUAGU